rnacentral:lncRNA from 1 species
GCCACAGCUCAUGCCAGCCCUGUUCCCACAGAGAUCUCAAAGCUCAGCCCUGUUCCCAGGAAGAUCCCAAAGCUCAGCACUGCAGGAGCUGCCAGCAAUAAAUGAAGCCUAUCCCAGCUGGAGCAGGACAGGACCGUUUCCUCAGCAGGACUGCCAAGCAGCAUCCCUGGCUCCAGCUGCCAUCCCAGGAGGGCUUAGAGCCCUUCUCUGAACAUGGGCAGUUUGGAUCCUAUGUUGGAAACAGCUGGAUCUCUCCCCUGGCCACCGGAGAAGAGGGAGAUCAGGAUUUCAGCACUUUGUAACUCAUUUCCCAGAGGCCUCAGGCCUUGGAAUCCCAAGUGAUUUAUCAAAGCUCAUGCAGAGACUUUGCACAGACACAGCAGAACUAUCAGUGCUUCAGUCUGCAGACACUGCUGUCCUUUCAAAAACCCUUCCCACUCCUCAAGUAUCCAGCCUGCCCAGCUGGUAUUUCCUCUGGUACUUGUGUUUGCAGAGGAAAAUGGAGUUGUCAGACUUCAAAUGUUCUUUCAUCGUCUGAGCAGAAUUGCCAGAGCAGCUGUGCUGUUUGGAGGCCUCUCCUAAAGCUUUAACAUAAUUGCUGCACCAGGACUGGUCCCUCACUCUCCCCUCCACACACGGAAUAUUCUCUAAUAAUGCAGCCAUCCCUGCCAACUCCUUGGAACAGCCACGGGCCAGAUGAGUGCGACACCCCAAGCUCAGAUUGCUCCUAAGUCACCUCCUGCAGCUGCUGGCCUUCCAAACUGCCUUUACUGCUCUUUCUAUGGGAUGAUGCACUCUGGAUUAACCUUAAACACAGCAUAUUGAGCCAUUUAGCCUUCAGAAUGACAUAUAGAGUAAUUGCUGCCCUCUUCAAUCACUGCCCAGCCCUUUAAAUAUGCAGGAGAUCAGCUCAGCCUUUGAGCUGAGUGUUUGAGAAAAUGGGCUGGAAAAUGUCCAUGAGGCAAUUUGCCUGUUGAACAGCCACGGUUCCUCAGGCAAGAGAAUCCAAUGACCCUGAAUCCUGGGAGACACAGAGGGAGAAUGUGGCCUCGGAGUUUCUCAGAGUUUCUCCAGCUGUGAGACUGCAAACCGAUGGGUGAGAGGGAGCCUGUUUUCCUGCAGAGCCCUGUGUAUCCAGGGCACAGCCCCAUGGCAGACUGCAGUGGCAUACCUAGGCUCCUUUCCUUUUGUUUAUUGUAAUUUUAUACCAGCUAUGGUGUGUAACAUGUUUCCUACAGUUUUCCAGGUGUUCACAUUCAGUCUAGAAGCUUCACAUCCACAGAGCUCAUGCCCAGAGCUUGCUCCUGCUUUCUCCAGCCAGCCUGCUCCCGGUCCAUAAAGUUUUAUGUUAAAGCCAAUCCUCCCUCCGGGGAG